CAGCCGCCGCGGGAAUACAGAGGGUGCGAGCGUUAAUCGGAUUUACUGGGCGUAAAGCGUGCGUAGGCGGCUUCUUAAGUCGGAUGUGAAAUCCCCGAGCUUAACUUGGGAAUUGCAUUCGAUACUGGUUAGCUAGAGUGUGGGAGAGGAUGGUAGAAUUCCAGGUGUAGCGGUGAAAUGCGUAGAGAUCUGGAGGAAUACCGAUGGCGAAGGCAGCCAUCUGGCCUAACACUGACGCUGAGGUACGAAAGCAUGGGGAGCAAACAGGAUUAGAUACCCCUGUAGUCCCUGUCUCUUAUAC
rnacentral:rRNA from 1 species